rnacentral:rRNA from 1 species
UACGGGGGGGGCAAGCGUUGUUCGGAAUUACUGGGCGUAAAGGGCUCGUAGGCGGCCAACUAAGUCGGAUGUGAAAUCCCCAGGCUUAACCUGGGAACUGCAUCCGAUACUGGAUGGCUUGAAUCCGGGAGAGGGAUGCAGAAUUCCAGGUGUAGCGGUGAAAUGCGUAGAUAUCUUGAGGAAUACCGGUGGCGAAGGCGGCAUCCUGGACCGGCAUUGACGCUGAUGAGCGAAAGCUAGGGGAGCAAACGGG